AAAUAUUUCAUAGCAAAAAGAAAUAUUUCUUAAAUAUUAUGAAAAAAUAUUGGUAUUUAUAUUUAAUGUAUAUCCACGGUAUAUAGCCAUAUACCAUUUCUUAAUGGUAAAAAAUACAUUUUGCGUGCCCGCAGCAGAAAGCAGCGGGAUGUAAAAGUUAAUUUUCUUUUACUGCUAAAUCCUGCUAAUUAUUAAAUGCUGAAAAUUUGGUGUUUAUUGAACCAACACCGCAGGGGCACGUUCAAGCAAAUUAUUUAUUAGUUCUAACUUGAAUAUAAUGUUUCUACUUUAAGAUAGCAAAACAUUACUCAUUGUUUAUUUUCAAUAGUAGCACCUACUGAGGUAUGCUGGACCAUUCUAAGAGUCUGACCAUUGUUCAAGAAGCGAGCCAGCCUUAACAGAAGAAUUGUUAAGUUGACGGCCUCUCAAUUGAAACAAGCGUAGAGAAUACACUAUUAAACGCAUUUGUAUAAUUUUACGCUGAUGAGAUUUAUAUACAUCUGUAACAUAUGUUGCUAGAUAAUACACCAAACCUAUCGAAAUGUUGCUUUGUCAAAAUGGACUUGGAAUGCCGCCGAAAUUCAGUAUAGUUUUACGUUACUAGAUAAUAGACCAUUAGAUUCGGCUUGCUCUCCACUCCCUGUAGAUUUCCGCUAAAAAUUAUAGUUAAGCUGGGUUUUCAUGGGUCAGGAAAGCGCCCGGAAUGCGGAAGUAGAGUGGGCCGCGUUAAAAACUGGGCCCAAUUGUUCAACACAUGUGGAAUGCCGUGUGAGUGGGGCUCUCAAUCUCCAUCUUCAAAUGAAGUUUCAAGCAUUACUAUCGUAAAAAAACUUCAUGACAUCCAAUUUGAAAUAUUGGACCGGAAGUUAGCCUUACUAUAUUCUGGUCAAGGAAAAAAAAGAAAACUGCCGUUCUGCUGUCUAAAACUAUUUGAAGCCAUUGUGGGUAAGAUAGUUUACACUAUUUCCUGUUUUUAAAAUCAGAAACUAAUAAUAAUCUAAAGAAAAUUUUAUUUUUGUGUUAAAUAAAAACGUUAAUACACGUUUAUUUUUUAAUUUUUGAAAUAAGAACAAUUAAUUACUUGUCAUUCAACCAAUUGGUGCCUAUGACGUCAUUAAAGUGUUUUUUUUUGUUCCGGCUGCCAUUCGUAAACAAUAUGCCACCGAGAGUGAAGACAAAAUAAAGAAAUCGGCGGUCUUAUUUCUGGCGGCUGCCAAAUCGCGAAUCAAAGAACCCCAAACGAAUGCAGAUGAGUCGCUAAAU